ACGGAGAAUUGCUAGCUUGCUAAUAAUUCUCUAGUGGCGCACGGGUGAGUAACACGUGAGUACCUGCCCCCAAGAGUGGGAUAGCCCCGGGAAACUGGGAUUAAUACCGCAUAAAGCAAUAAAGCAGCAAUGCGCUUGGGGAUGGGCUCGCGUCCUAUUAGUUAGUUGGUGAGGUAACGGCUCACCAAGGCGAUGACGGGUAGCCGGUCUGAGAGGAUGUCCGGCCACACUGGAACUGAGACACGGUCCAGACACCUACGGGUGGCAGCAGUCGGGAAUCAUUCACAAUGGGGGAAACCCUGAUGGUGCGACGCCGCGUGGGGGAUAAGGUCUUCGGAUUGUAAACCCCUGUCAUGUGGGACAUUAAAAGAUAGUACCACAAGAGGAAGAGACGGCUAACUCUGUGCCAGCAGCCGCGGUAAUACAGAGGUCUCAAGCGUUGUUCGGAAUCACUGGGCGUAAAGCGUGCGUAGGCGGUUUCGUAAGUCGUGUGUGAAAGGCGGGGGCUCAACCCCCGGACUGCACAUGAUACUGCGAGACUAGAGUAAUGGAGGGGGAACCGGAAUUCUCGGUGUAGCAGUGAAAUGCGUAGAUAUCGAGAGGAACACUCGUGGCGAAGGCGGGUUCCUGGACAUUAACUGACGCUGAGGCACGAAGGCCAGGGGAGCGAAAG
rnacentral:rRNA from 1 species